AUUCUGGUGCCGACCCUUUUCUUUAAAGCAUUAUGAAUAAUAUAAACUUUCCGAUACCAUCGUUUUUUCCAGACAUCGGUCAUUCUGAUAGAGAAAGUAAACAUGAUGGCUGCAAGCUUGAUUGAAUAAACAAUUACACAUUGAUAAAUGAUUUAAUAGUUCGUACUUUACUUCUAAAAAAAAUGUU